rnacentral:lncRNA from 1 species
GAGGCAGAAAUAUUGUUAAAUCGAUAAACAUACUUUUAUUUAAAUUUUUUAUGUAUAUUGUUACAUCGAUAAAAAUAAUUUUAGUAAUUUUAACUCUGGAAACAAUCCUUUAUUACAUAUAUAUGCAAGGAAUGCAUAGUGAGAGCGAAAGUGUAAACCUAGGCAGGGGAUGGGGUGGGGGAUGAAGAGUGAUGGUGACGAUGUUUGUGGCGUUUGUGGUGUUUGUUGUGCUUAUGAUCCAAAUCCUCCUCAUAACUAGUGGACAAUGAGAUAAUUGUAGUAUCAAAGGGAAAGGGUGGACGAGUAGGGGCUAAAGAAGGAGCAUGGACAUGGCCAUGGGUUGGGGCUGGGGAUGGGGCUGGGGAUGAAGAAUGAUGGUCAUGGUGAUGAUGGUGUUUGUGUUUAAGAUUAUCAAACUCUUUAGCAAACACUGCAAAGAAGCUCACUUGAAGUAGGAUUAAUACCAAAACUCUAGCCAUGUCUCUAUGCAAGAUAAAGUAACUUGAAGAGAUAGAGAAGAUAUAUUGAUACUAUGAAACUAUCUCAAGGGAGUUGGAUGGGGAAAGUUGGUGAUGAUGAUGGUGACGGUGAUGAUGGUGUUUGUGUUUAAGAUUAUCAAACUCUUUAGCAAACACUGCAAAGAAGCUCACUUGAAGUAGGAUUAAUACCAAAACUCUAGCCAUGUCUCUAUGCAAGAUAAAGUAACUUGAAGAGAUAGAG